rnacentral:rRNA from 1 species
AUUGAACGCUGGCGGCAGGCCUAACACAUGCAAGUCGAGCGGAUGAAGGGAGCUUGCUCCUGGAUUCAGCUGCGGACGGGUGGGUAAUGCCUAGGAAUCUGCCUGGUCGUGGUGGCUAACGUCCGGACACGGGCGCUAAUACCGCAUACGUCCUGAGGGCGAACGUGGGGGAUCUUCGGAUCUCACGCCAUCAGAUGAGCCUAGGUCGGGUUAGCUAGUUGGUGGGGUAAAGGCCUACCAAGGCGACGAUCCGUAACUGGUCUGAGAGGAUGAUCAGUCACACUGGAACUGAGACACGGUCCAGACUCCUACGGGAGGCAGCAGUGGGGAAUAUUGGACAAUGGGCGAAAGCCUGAUCCAGCCAUGCCGCGUGUGUGAAGAAGGUCUUCGGAUUGUAAAGCACUUUUAUUUGGGAGGAAGGGCAGUAAGUUAAUACCUUGCUGUUUUGACGGUACCAACAGAAUAAGCACCGGCUAACUUCGUG